UUAUGGCCAUACCAUGUUGAAACACCAGUUUCCAUAUGAUCACCAGAGUUAAGCAACUUUGAGUCUGGUCAGUACCUAGAUGGAUGAUCGCUUGUAAAUACCAGGUGCUGUAA